UGCCAGCCGCCGCGGUAAUACGGAGGGUGCAAGCGUUGUUCGGAAUUAUUGGGCGUAAAGCGCGUGUAGGCGGCUUGGCAAGUCGGUUGUGAAAGCCCGAGGCCCAACCUCGGAACUGCAGCCGAAACUGCCUAGCUAGAGUCCCGGAGAGGGUGGCGGAAUUUCCGGUGUAGAGGUGAAAUUCGUAGAUAUCGGAAGGAACACCAGUGGCGAAGGCGGCCACCUGGACGGUGACUGACGCUGAGACGCGAAAGCGUGGGUAGCGAACAGGAUUAGAUA
rnacentral:rRNA from 1 species